rnacentral:rRNA from 1 species
CCUACGGGUGGCAGCAGUAAGGGAUAUUGGUCAAUGGGGGAAACCCUGAACCAGCAACGCCGCGUGAGGGAAGACGGUUUUCGGAUUGUAAACCUCUGUCCUCUGUGAAGAUGAUGACGGUAGCAGAGGAGGAAGCUCCGGAUAACUACGUGCCAGCAGCCGCGGUAAUACGUAGGGAGCGAGCGUUGUCCGGAUUUACUGGGUGUAAAGGGUGCGUAGGCGGCUUGGCAAGUCAGUAGUGAAAUCCAUGGGGUUAACCCAUGAACUGCUAUUGAAACUGUCGAGCUUGAGUGAAGUAGAGGUAGGCGGAAUGCCCGGUGUAGCGGUGAAAUGCGUAGAUAUCAGGAGGAACACCGGUGGCGAAGGCGGCCUGCUGGACUGCGACUGACGUUGAGGCCCGAAAGCGUGGGGAGCAAACAGGAUUAGAUACCCGGGUAGUC